GUACUCUCUGCAUUUAUAAAUCUUUAAUUUGCAUUAUACAUUUCUAACUCCAUUUUACAUAACUAGACUUAAUAGUAAUAUGGACCCAUGGAAAGACCUAACCGGAAAAGUAGUGAUGGUGACCGGAGCAUCAUCGGGGAUCGGGCUAGAGUUCUGUAUCGAUUUAGCCAAAGCCGGUUGCAGAAUCAUCGCUGCUGCUCGUCGUGUUGACAAACUGAAAUCUCUCUGCGAUCAAAUUAACAGUAAUUCAGAGGAAACCCCUCGUGCAAUCGCCAUCGAACUUGAUGUUGCUGCUGAUAGUGCUACAAUUGAAUCCGCUGUAAAAAUAGCUUGGGAGGCCUUUGGACGUAUCGAUGCCUUGGUUAACAAUGCAGGCGUAAGAGGGAGCGUGAGCUCUUCAGUGGAAUUGACAGAGGAGGAAUGGAACAAUACAUAUAACACGAAUCUACGAGGGGCAUGGAUGGUUUCGAAAUAUGUAUGUAAGCGUAUGAUCGAUGCUAAACAGGGCGGAGGAUCUGUUAUUAACAUCACUUCGAUGGCGGGUUUAAAUCGUAUAGCAGUGCCAGGAACUACUGCUUACGCUACUUCAAAGAUGGCUCUAGACAUGGUUACUAAGAUAAUGGCGAUUGAAUUGGGCGGAGAGAAUAUCAGAUUGAACUCGAUAUCGCCAGGAGUUUUCAAAUCAGAGAUAACAGAGAGCCUAGUUGAACAGAAAUGGUUUCACAAAUUUCUUUAUAAAACUCUUCCUACUAGAUAUCUUGGAACGACAGAUCCAGGUUUAACGUCUCUCAUUCGAUACUUAAUUCAUGAUUCUUCUGAGUAUGUAACGGGUAAUGUUUUCAUCGUCGAUGGUGGAGCUAGCUUACCAGGUGUCCCCAUUUUCUCAUCACUCUAGCUCAAAUGGACAUGUAAAAGAAAAUAAUACAAUACUUUCAAUUAUCGAAGCAAGUGAAAAAUGUAUUGUAAUACUUGGUGUGAUUUAGUAUGUUGUUACCUUCCACUAGUGUGUUUGCG
rnacentral:misc_RNA from 1 species